UACAGAGGGUGCGAGCGUUAAUCGGAAUGACUGGGCGUAAAGCGUGCGUAGACGGUUAUUUAAGUCGGGUGUGAAAGCCCCGGGCUCAACCUGGGAAUUGCAUUCGAGACUGAAUAGCUAGGGUACGGUAGAGGGAAGCGGAAUUUCCGGUGUAGCGGUGAAAUGCGUAGAUAUCGGAAGGAACAUCAGUGGCGAAAGCGGCUUCCUGGACCAGUACCGACGUUCAGGCACGAAAGCGUGGGGAGCAAACAGG
rnacentral:rRNA from 1 species